CUUCUCUGAAGGCUUCGGGCUGUGGAAAAUCUGAUUUCUCUGUUAAAAUAAGAAAUUGCUGAAGCAAGUGACAGUAAAAAGCACACGUUAUUACGUGGACAUGAAAAUAAGGAAGGAAAAUAUUCGCUCAUAUUGUGGGUCUUGUAGAGCUGUUUUCCCGUGGUUUCCUUCUCUUUUCUUGUGCACCUGACUCAUCUGUAAGUACAAAGUUAAUUACUGUCUUUAUAUGGACAAGCUUCAGAUCAAUCUCUCUGUUCCAGAUCCAUCUGCUUGUGUCCAAAUGAAAUCUCAGCCUGCCUGUCUUGCAUUUCCUCUUGAUGUGUCAUCCUCAGCUCCAGUUCAAGGAAGAAAAAACUCAGCUGUUCAUCCUUCAUCACAACUCUUAGCUGUUAAUCAACAAUCUCUUCCUCUUUUGGAGAAGCUCUGCUGUUCUGAGUGAAAUCAGAUUUGCUAUCCAACAUACUUCUUGUUAGUGGUGGUUGGAAGAACAUUGCAACUCUCAUCUCUGGAAUGCAGACAGUGGGUGGCUGAAUAGCAUUUUUAUGGGGAGACUUCAGCUGACUUCCAUGGAAGCGAGACUAGGAUCAGUGCGAUAUCCAUCCUGGAAGGUGGACCUUUCUAUUCACACAAAAGCGUCCAAUACCACAGUGGAUCAAUUCACUGGAGAUGAAGACAAUCAUUUAAAACAAGGAUGGAGUGCACAUUUAAUUUACUCCCCUGGCAUUCUUCUGGGAUUUCCAUCUUCAGUAAGGACCGGUGGCUGCUGCUGGUGCCCAGUUGUUUCAUGGGUGCUGAUUAAGUGCUGUUUACACAGUGAAAGAGACAGUCUUUUUGGUGGUAUUGAUUCAACAAAAGACGUCUGUCAGGUGGGAGGAUGUGUGGGUGUGCCAGUACCAGAUGAUUUCCCCGUGCACCUACAUCCCAGCAUUGCUAACAAGUGUUUCAGUGACUUGCUUCUUACUACUGAAAGUGAUACAGAACAAAAG
rnacentral:lncRNA from 1 species